rnacentral:rRNA from 1 species
AGUGAACGCUGGCGGUAGGCCUAACACAUGCAAGUCGAACGGCAGCACAGUAAGAGCUUGCUCUUACGGGUGGCGAGUGGCGGACGAGUGAGGAAUACAUCGGAAUCUACUUUUUCGUGGGGGAUAACGUAGGGAAACUUACGCUAAUACCGCAUACGACCUACGGGUGAAAGCAGGGGAUCUUUGGACCUUGCGCGAUUGAAUGAGCCGAUGUCGGAUUAGCUAGUUGGCGGGGUAAAGGCCCACCAAGGCGACGAUCCGUAGCUGGUCUGAGAGGAUGAUCAGCCACACUGGAACUGAGACACGGUCCAGACUCCUACGGGAGGCAGCAGUGGGGAAUAUUGGACAAUGGGCGCAAGCCUGAUCCAGCCAUACCGCGUGGGUGAAGAAGGCCUUCGGGUUGUAAAGCCCUUUUGUUGGGAAAGAAAAGCAGCAGGUUAAUACCCCGCUGUUCUGACGGUACCCAAAGAAUAAGCACCGGCUAACUUCGUG